AGAACGAACGCUGGCGGCAGGCUUAACACAUGCAAGUCGAACGCCCCGCAAGGGGAGUGGCAGACGGGUGAGUAACGCGUGGGAAUCUACCUGGUUCUACGGAAUAACUGAGGGAAACUUCAGCUAAUACCGUAUACGCCCCAAGGGGGAAAGAUUUAUCGGUGCCAGAUGAGCCCGCGUUGGAUUAGCUAGUUGGUGGGGUAAUGGCCUACCAAGGCGACGAUCCAUAGCUGGUCUGAGAGGAUGAUCAGCCACACUGGGACUGAGACACGGCCCAGACUCCUACGGGAGGCAGCAGUGGGGAAUAUUGGACAAUGGGCGAAAGCCUGAUCCAGCCAUGCCGCGUGAGUGAUGAAGGCCUUAGGGUUGUAAAGCUCUUCAGUGGGAAGAUAAUGACGGUACCACAGAAGAAGCCCGGCUAACUUCGUGCCAGCAGCCGC
rnacentral:rRNA from 1 species